AGAGAGAGAUGGGGAAACGGAAGGAGCAGAAGAAAGUUUGUCAUCGUGAUGAUGAGGAUAAAGAAGUAGAAGGAAGCAGGUUCUUUGCCUGUUACUUGCUUACAUCUAUGUGCCCCAGAUUCAAAGGCCACACUUACAUCGGAUUUACAGUAAAUCCUCGCCGUAGAAUUCGACAGCACAAUGGAGAGGUAAGGAUGGGUGCAUUGAGGACUAAGAGGAAGCGUCCCUGGGAGAUGAUUUUAUGCAUAUAUGGCUUCCCUACCAAUGUAUCAGCCCUCCAGUUUGAAUGGGCCUGGCAGCAUCCAGUAGAAUCCCG
rnacentral:misc_RNA from 1 species